CAGUAGCCGCGGGAAUACGAAGGGUGCAAGCGUUACUCGGAAUUACUGGGCGUAAAGCGUGCGUAGGUGGUGGUUUAAGUCCGUUGUGAAAGCCCUGGGCUCAACCUGGGAAUUGCAGUGGAUACUGGGUCACUAGAGUGUGGUAGAGGAUAGUGGAAUUUCCGGUGUAGCAGUGAAAUGCGUAGAGAUCGGAAGGAACAUCUGUGGCGAAGGCGACUAUCUGGGCCAACACUGACACUGAGGCACGAAAGCGUGGGGAGCAAACAGGAUUAGAUACCCCGGUAGUCCCUGUCUCUUAACA
rnacentral:rRNA from 1 species